rnacentral:snRNA from 1 species
GUGCUUACUUCAGCAGCACAUAUACGAAAUUUGGAAUGAUACAGAGAAGAUUAGCAUGGCCCCUGUGCAAGGAUGACAUGCAAAUUCAUGGAUCAUUCCAUUUUUUU